UCGAGUUUUCUGACGUUCUUGCCUCAACAAUCUAGAAUCUAGGGCACUGUUCUAAGAUGAUCCUCCUCCUUUUUGGUUCGAAAGAUUUCUCUUUUCGUGAUUUUUCUGGUCGAGAAGGCUGUCUGGCCAGGCUGCGGCUCUUGGCGAGCAGUUUUUGGAGCCGUGAGGGAUACAGCACUUUGGUCAAUAUUGUUUUAACAUGCUUCAGAUAAAUCAGAAAUAAUCACUGCUAACAUUUUGGGGUGUAUACUUCUAAAUUUUUUUCUAUGCAGGAUGAGCCCCUUCCAGUAGCAGGGAAUAGGGAAAGGGGAGCCAGCAGAGAGACAUAGACUGUGUUCAAGUUAUUUUCUGUACCUGUGAUGGACACGGAUACUUCUAUGGAGAGACUUGCCUUGGCAGGUUUUGUGUUUUUUUAGUGUUUGGCCGUACACUGACAUGGGGGAACCUAUUUCCCCAACUCGGGAUUGAACCCCCGCCCCCUGCUUUAGAAGGCAGAGUCGCAGCCACUGGACUGCUGGGGACCCCUGUGCUUAAGUUUUAAAAUGGGAGGUGAAGGAAAAACUAAAAAAGCAGUUAAAUAUCUUCUCUCCAAGAUAAAAUGGCAAACCCCAAAGAGAAAACUCCAAUGUGUCUGGUAAAUGAGUUAGCCCGUUUCAAUAGAGUCCAACCCCAGUAUAAACUUCUGAAAGAAAGAGGGCCUGCUCAUUCGAAGGUAAGGUUCCGAAGAGAGGUGGUGAGCCAUGCUUAUCAAAAUCUGUGAGAUUUAUCAUCUCAGGUUUUAACUGUGCUUUAUUUUGGGGGGAGGGGGUAGUGGAUGGCCUAACGGCUCUCUUAGUUCUCUUUUAAAAGUAUUUUAAAGUCUGUAACUGUAUAGCUCAUUAUGGUUUGCAGAGUUCAUGCUGAUAUCAUACUUCACAAAAAUCUUAAUGAAACCACAUGAGAUACCAAUUUUUGAUUUCCACUUUGUAAAUUAAGAAACUCAGGCUCAGAAAAGCUAAGUAACUUGCUUUAUAGUUCGUGAGUGCCAGCACCAGCACUUGUACAUGU